ACACUGUCAGAAAUAGGGGUACAGUAGGGGUCCAUUUCUGUCCCCCAAGGUACAAUCUACAUAAAAGUACCCCAAAGGGCCCAUUAUUGGACCUCAAAGUACAUGUAUGUACCUUUUUGAGGGUCAAAAAGGUACAUAUUUGUUCCCAAGCAUUAAAAGGUACAUUUUUGUACCAUUUCUUUUAAAGGAUAAGGUACAAUGCUAAAAGAUACAGCCUCUUGCCAUUUUUUUAUUUGUUGUUCAAGACAACUGCUGUAAAUCUGGUCAAUAAAGUAAGUAACCAUUGUGUCAAUUUUGUUUCCUUUAGUUGGGCACAUGGGUCUUGAAGUAGUGUUAGUUUUCUUCUGUUCAUUGACAAUGUGUUUAAUUUAAAAUUUUAUUUGAAAUUUUAAUGAAAAAAAGUUAAUUUCAAUUCAUAAAAACUGUGCUGUGAACUCAAAAACUGCAAUUGAUUAACCAUUACUUACAAACUAAAUAAAUACUGAAUAACUAAAUCCCUCACACACAAUGAAAAAAAACGCGCUUUUAUUUUGACACGCGCCCAUCCCCCCACAUCUCACGGUCUGACUGGAGUCGAGUUUCACAGAGCAACGCAACAGGAGGAUGACACAACAGUUACAAGAGCAUUAACAGUAAGGACUAACAUUAACUGACUGUCUGUCCUCAACCAAAGUCAUUCAAGACCUGUAAAAGUUUAGCACAAACGUUUCCCGCGCAAGUUUGAAUCUCUCUCAGUCAGGGGAGAUUGACUGACUGACUGACUGACUGUCUACACGCCACCAAACAGUAAUUUAUACAGAAACCUUUUAAAGUAAGGACUAACAUUAACUGACUGUCUGUCUGUCUGUCUGUCUGUCUGUCUGUUCUCAAGCAAAGUCAUUCAAGACCUGUUAAAGUUUAGCACAAACGUUUCCCGCGCAAGUUUGAAUCUCUCUCAGUCAGGGGAGAUUGACUGACUGACUGACUGUCUACACGCCACCAAACAGUAAUUUAUACAGAAACCUUUUAAAGUAAGGACUAAGGUUAACUGACUGUCUGUCUGUCUGUCUGUCUGUCGGUUCUCAACCAAAGUCAUUAAAGACCUGUUAAAGUAAGGACUAACGUUAACUGACUGUCUGUCUGUCUGCUCUCAACCAAACAGUCAUUCAAGACCUUUCAAAGUUUAGCACAAAAGUUUCCAGCACAAGUUUGGAUCUUUACCAUUGAGGGUGGCUGACUGUUCUCGACCAACCAUCAUUCACACGCAAAAACUUUAAAGAUAAGUAUGAACGUGCCCAGAGCAGUUUUCGAUCUUUACCAUUAAGGAGGCUGACUGACUAUCCUCUACCACCCGUCAUUAACACAACAAAAACUAAAGAAAUGUUACUCCAUAUGGACCUAUUCAUUUACUCAUUAUGCUGUGAGUACACCACAGUUUUAUCAGUGAAAAAAUUUAUAUUUGUGUGUUUUCUCACUUCUUGGCAAGGACAGAUGUGGCCCUGUUAAAAAUGUUUAAAUGUUGUUUGGUUAAGGAACAGCACACUGAUUUUGUUUUAAAAUAUUCCUGUUUGGACAGUCUGUUAAAGUCAAAGGAAUACUUGAUAUAUUUCUAAGUAAAGUGUAAAUGAAAAAAUUAGUUUUUAAUGUUGUGACUGAACACAAUGUUGUGAAUGAUUUGGACUGAACAGCACACUUCUGUUUUAUAUCUGAACCUUUUGUAAAAUAAAUGAUUGUUCAUUAAACUCACUGUGUAUUUUAUCUUUUCUGUUAUCAUUUUUUUAUACUAAUGUUUAAAAUUUACCUUUACUCUAAACAAUUGGCUAAACCAACACAAAUACACUGAGUCAUAUGCACUUAUAAUUUAAAGUUUACAAAAUUUAGAUUGAGAUAUAUGUAUAAGUUUUAAAACCAUGAGUGUACCCUGUCAAAGCCAUUUUUGUACCCUUUUUGAAGGGUCCAUAUUUGUACUGUUAAAUAAAGGUACAAAAUUGUCACUAGAGGUACAAAACUGGUCCCUUAAGGUACAAAUCACAAGGGUACAAUUUUGUACCCUCUGCCAAGGGUACAAAAACUGUACCCUUGAGGGUACAGCCCCAGUGACAAGCCAUUGUACCCCUAAAGGUACAAUUAUGUACUUUCUUUUC